CAGCCCUCAUAAUUUGUUGUUCAUAAUUAGGUAGAUAACGUCAACAUGUAUAAAAUGUACACCAAAAUUUUACUAGCUACUUUGUUGGUUAUCAAAAUUGCACAUACGAUUGCCAUACCUGACCAUUUAAACGCAACGAUGAUUAGCAGUGUUCAUGCAUCACAACUGAACAGAGAUCUAACAGAAUCCAUCAAAGAACAGAUAAAACUGGGUUUGGCACAAGCAAAAGAUGAGGUUAUCCACCAAAUGGAGGUACUCGUUGCCGAAUACGCGUCAGAAACCAGACAAGGAUGUCAGUCUGGAGUAUUUGGCGAGCAUGCCUAUCCAGAGAUGAAAUUUCCAGCUUCAGGAUACAUUACGUUUAAUCCACCAUUUACUGCUGUUCCAGCCUUAGUGUACGGAUUAUAUCUGUAUGACACUUCAAAGAACACCAAUUCUCGACUGGUCACAGAUGUUAGCAAUCUCUCCAAAUCUGGAUUCAAUCUGAAGAUCUAUACCUUUGCAGGAACAAAAAUGUGGGGAGCUCGUAUUUCCUGGAUGGCUUGUCCUAAAUCAAUUGUCGAUAUUUAACGCAAAUAUCAAAUUAUUUUGUGAAAUAAAAGGAAUCUUUAUCAGUC